AGAAACGUUUUGUGAACGAUAUAAUGUAAAUCUGCGCCACCACGAUUUUUCAACUUUUUGAUUGUAUACGAAAUUUUAAUCUUUUUCACAAUGACAGAGGAAGUUCAGAAGCAUUCUGUCCACACACUGGUGUUCAGAUCCCUGAAGAGAACACAUGACAUGUUCUUAUCAGAACAGGGUAUAACACCAGAAAGGGAUACCAAAAGUGAUGAAUUAAAAAGGAAAAUUAAACUAUCAGAUGAGUAUGGACUUGUGAAGGACUUGCCAAAGGAAGGACAGAAAAAGAGUCAUGGCAGUGUCAUAGAGCCGUAUAAAGAUGGCAUGUGGCAAGAAAAUGGCUCAUCCAUUCAAGGCACACACCCGUAUCCUUCUGGACCAGGUGUUCAGUUAAGUGAUGGCACAAUGAUGCAGAGUGAUCCCAGUCAGACUGGUCAGAUGGAAAUGGUUGCCUAUGACAAAAACAGGUAACAUUAUUAUUUCACAAGCUGUAAACCACUGCUUAUUCAAUUUUAAGCAGAGAUUAAAUGUUAAGAUGUAGAUAAAUCAUAUUUCUGAUUUAUUUAUUUUUUUGUGUGUAGCAUUUACACGUACCUGUAAAGAAAUCAAGGUAUAUGUCAAAGUGAACCAUCGUUAUGAUGUAGGUACUGUAUCAUUAUCUGUAAUCUUUUCUAAUUCAUGUAGAAACAAGGAUGUUCCAGCAGGUGCAAGUAUGCAUGAUAUAAGAGCCCAUCAUGAUAAGUCUGACCCAUCAAAGGCAAUAGUUUCUAUAGGAAAUCAACAGGCUUUGGUUCCAAAGAAGGCAAUGACAAUGCCCAAACCCAUCUGGCAUCCCCCUUGGAAACUCUAUAGGGUUAUAAGUGGUCAUCUUGGCUGGGUUCGGUGCAUUGAUGUCGAGCCAGGAAACCAGUGGUUUGUGACUGGGGCUGCUGAUCGAGUUAUUAAGAUCUGGGAUCUGGCCAGUGGAACUCUAAAAUUGUCCUUGACUGGGCAUGUCAGCACUGUGAGAGGGGUCAAGGUCAGUCAAAGACAGCCAUAUCUGUUCUCCUGUGGAGAAGACAAAAUGGUUCGAUGCUGGGAUUUGGAGUAUAACAAAACCAUCAGGCACUAUCACGGUCACCUGAGUGCUGUGUACUCCAUGGAUCUCCACCCCACGAUAGACGUGUUGCUGACCUGUGGGAGAGACGGGUCAGCCAGGGUGUGGGACAUCAGGACCAAGGCCUGUGUCCAUACACUGGUUGGCCACAAUAACACGGUGGCUGAGGUCAGGUGUCAGGCAGCAGAGCCCCAGGUAAUCACAGGUAGCCACGACUGCACCAUCAGAUUGUGGGACCUUGCCAUGGGAAGGUCAAGGGUCACACUCACCAACCACAAGCGAAGUGUGCGGGCACUCUCGCUCCAUCCAAAGCUGUACACAUUUGCUUCUGCCUCACCUGACAACAUCAAGCAAUGGAAAUUCCCCAAUGGAGACUUCGUACAAAAUCUCUCUGGUCACAACGCCAUCGUGAAUGCUCUAGCCAGUAAUGCAGAUGGCGUCCUUGUUUCUGGAGCUGACAAUGGAUCCAUGUUUUUCUGGGAUUGGAAAACUGGAUACAACUUCCAGAGAGUCCAGGCAGCUGCUCAGCCUGGAUCCAUUGAUUCAGAGUCUGGAAUCUUCUCUAUGACCUUUGACCGGAGUGGCAGCCGUCUCCUGGCAACGGAAGCUGACAAGACCAUCAAGAUUUACAAGGAAGAUGAAUCUGCAACGGAAGAAACACAUCCCAUUAAUUGGCGACCAGAUAUUGUGAAGAAAAAGAGGUACUGAGAAGAGAAACUUUGAGGAAAGGAACUAUGGCAGAAUAUAUUUUUAAAAUUUCUAAAGACGUAAAAAUUGAAAAGGGAAGUGGGUGGAUGAACAAGGCAGAUGCCAGAAAAAAAAAUAAGUUUUUUGUUCAGAUCAUGUAACAGGUUGAUUAACAGUGAAAUUGGGGAAUUUCAGUGUGCAAUAUCAGACAUUUAGAAAGGUCUUUUGCAUUUAAUGAGAAAUAAUGACACAGGACACUUUUAUUGCUUUUUAAUAAAAACUUCAACAACAGAAACAUUGAUAAAAUCUCUGGCUGGUGAAACAGCAGGAGAUGGAAACUUGAUGUACAUGAAUCCAUUUCUUCAUUGGUAAAAAAAAAAACAUUGUCAACGUGAAUAAAUUCAUUUUUUUAUCC
rnacentral:misc_RNA from 1 species